AUGCUGACUUUGGAUCCAGGUGACAGUGUAUGGAUUCCUGUUGCAUAUGUUGUUGUUACCGAUGGCGUAUGGACCGUCAUGUGCUUCUGGGUGUUCCUCGUUGUUCCACGGGCAUUUCAGUUCCUUGCUUAUCUUGCCAUAUGGAGCUCCUGCAGUGUUGAGUUUUGUCAAGGCAAGUUGUCAGGGGAUCCAGGCAUCUGGGCCCUUCUCUAUUUCUUCGGACUUUUCACUCAAGCUGAAGUAAUAGGAAGGAGGAAUGUUGUAGCUCCAACCUACUACCACGGCCACUGCCUCAACCAUGCUCUGACAACGUCUCUGUCAACCAACACUAUUACCUCGAUGCUUUCUGUGACCAAGUGA
rnacentral:rRNA from 1 species